ensembl:lncRNA
GUAUUUUUGCUAUCUGAAAGUUUUGGUUUUGUUUUUGUUUGUUUUAGCAUUUGUUCCUGUUUUGAGGGUUCACAUAUGUUUCUGAGGAUGUUAAAUAGGUAUUUUGUUUCUUUUUAAAGUUUUCUGCUCCCUACAUUGUCUCUGUUUCUUCCAGGUUCUUCGUGUUUCCGGUUUUGGUGGUGUCUUUCGUGUUAGAGGAGUGCUUAAAAGCGGAGAACCUUUGCCAGCUGUGGUCAGAGGGAGUCGUGACUGUGGAAGAAAGGCACAGAGAGACUCAACGCUGCUGGCUUUGAAGAUGGAGGAAGAGGGCCCUGAGCCAAGGAAUGCAAUGGGCCUGUAGAAGCUGGAAAAGCUCUUCAGAACCUGAAAGGCAGCAUAGCUCCUGGGACUGUGUGUGUGUUAUACAGCGGCUAAGGAGGAAGAUGAUUUGUUUCGGGCUGUGCGCCCUCUGCUCCUUUGUCGAAGAUUAGCUGUCCAUAAAACUAAACAUAUUGUUACCACCAUGAUCCAACAGUCAUGUUCCUUGAUAUUUACCCAAAGGAGCUGAAAACUUACGUCCACACAAAAACUUGCACAUGGAUGUGUAUAGCAACUUUAUUCAUAAUUGCCAAAACUUGGAGGCAACCAGGAUGUCCUUCAGUAGGUGAAUGGAUAAAUAAGCUGUGGUCCAUCCAGACAAUGGAAUAUUAUUUAAUGCCAAAAAAUGAGCUAUCAAGUCAUGAAAAGACAUGGAGAAAACUUAGAUGCAUAUUAGUAAAUGGAAGAAACCCAUCUGAAAAGGAUACGUGCUAUAUAAUUCCAACUGUAUGACAUUCUGGAAAAGGCAAAACUAUGGAGUCAGUAAAAAGAUCAGGGGUUGCUAAGGGGAGGGAGAGAUGAAUAGGCAGAGCACAGAAGAUUUUUAGGGCAGUGAAAAUAUUCUGCAUGAUACUAUAAUGGUAAAUACAUGUCAUUAUACACUUGUCCGAACUGAUAGAAUGUAUAACACCAAAAGUGAACCCUAAUGUAAACUCUGGAUUCUGUGUGAUAAUGAUGUGUCAGUGUAGGUUCAUCAGUUGUAACAAAUAUACCACUCUGGUGGGGGAUAUGGAAAGGCUACACGUGUGUGAGGGCAAGGGACUUAUGGGACGUCUCUGAGCCUUCCUCAAUUUUGCUGUAAAUCUAAAACUGCUCUUAAAAAAAUCUUAAAAAAUUCUCCUUCUUACCCCACUCUAGUGGUCUUCAAGCCAAUGGUUAGGUCACCCAGAGAAAAGACCCUAGAACCCCCAGCUCCAUGCUAUGAUAGGCACCUCUCUUCUGUCUUCAGGUGUUGCCUGGACCAGGACCCGGAUCCACAACCAUAGGUCUCAAUCUGAACUUAGCCCAUUAAGGAUCUUUCUGACUUUGGAAGUAAAUGCUUUACCCAUGUUGAUUUUUGGUGUCUGCUAAUCUGUGAAAUGAAAAGAGCUAUCAUAUCUCUGAGUGUGUUAAUCCAAAUGUCUGAGAGCUCCUCCAAGACAAAGAAGAUGGGAGGCUGGCUUCAACGGCCCUGGAGGAAGAUCUCUUGGUCCCAGAAUCAUAUCUUUGCCCCUCUUUAUGGCUCUUCUAAGGGAAAAGUUAAACUGAUGCAAGUCCAGAUGGCACUGCAGGGACAGAGAGGAAAGAGAUAACAUCUGUUGAGCAUCCCCUGUGU